UUGGCGCUCAAUUGUAGAUAAGUGCCGCGGUUUGUAUUAUCUUUUCACGCUGCACCGCGAAGGAUGACAAAGAGACAACAUGGGUGUCAUGGCCUUCAGCAUAUCAUUAAGGGUGCUAAUGGAGAGCGGGGAUUUGGGAUGCCUGGCACAGCUCGGAAAUGCUGAUUCACCCAGAGACCUCCCUUUUCUCAGGCCAGAGCCUGCUCGAGGCAGCUCCUGGUCAAAAAAUCCCAGCCCAGCAAACUCCAGGAAUAUCUUGGGAGCCGAGCAGCUGCUCCGGCUCCAGCAAACACCAUCCCUGGGAUCCAGGGACCCACGGCACGGAGUGGGCUGUGGCCCCUGCACACCCUGUCCCCACCUGGGGACUCCCUGAUCCCACCAGGGAGUCCCUCACAGGGUCCCUCCCUCCUCUGUUUCCCAGGAAUGGGAUGUUCCUGACAUCUGGGGUAAACUGGUCCCAUCCCUCCCACUGGGGAGGAUCCGGGUCUGGCCCCUCUGCUCGGGGUAGCUUUCAAUUAAAACCAAAAUAUCCCCUAAUAACCCACAGAGGGCUUUUUAUUUCCUUCCUCUUUUUAAUUUUUUUUUUUUUUUAAUUAAUGUAUUAUGACAAGCUUAGAGAUGGAUGUAAAACUGGCGAGGGACGAUUUGAGGAUUAAGGACUGGCGUGUCCUGGUGUGAUGGGCAAAGAAAAGACAAUCCUGAUGGGGUUGGGAUCAGGCUGGGGAAGGGACACCGAGUCCAGCCAGGCCAGGAAGAGGAAGAAGGGGAUACAGGGCUGGGAAGAGGACUCUAGAGCCGGGGAGGGGAUGCUGCAUCCAGCGGAGCAGGAGGGGUCCCGGCCGACGGCUCCGGAAGCAGCAGCGAGAUCCCAAAGCGGGACCUCCUGCGCCGCUCCCGCCGCUCUCCCACCGGCUCCCGCCUCCCUGCAUCCCGUUUAGCAUAAAAGUCAUUUUGGUCGGGGACCCCCGGCUGCUGCUCCCUCAUUCCCAGGCAUCGGGGCCCCCGCGGGAUCGCUGCGCGGGGCGAGCAGCGUUUAACCCCCCCGCCAAGGGGAAUUGGCUGCUUCACCGUUUCCCUGACCCCAAAAAGACAAUGAAAUCGUGCACGAAACCAAUAGAUUUUAGCCACAGGCCUGCGGAGAGGCGAGAGGAAUAAAAUACAGAUGGAGCCUCGUGCGGCGGGGAUGGGAAUGGAUUCCGAGCGGGAGCUGGGACGUGCCGGCGCUGCCCGGGGUCGGGAUGAGGUGACCCCCCCAGUUCCACGUGCACCUCACAGCCACGCUCUGGGUGGCUUUUGGGGCCCAAUUCUGCGUUUCCUGGAAAAAAGACCCCCUCGUUUCUAUCCCGGCUGCAGCCCCCAGCCUGAAUUGAGGAGCUCUUUUGGGUGGUUUUUGACCAGGUUCUGAGCAAAGCCUUCUGCUGGGUGAUGGAGCUGGGAUGGGGUGGGGACACGGGGAUACCCGGAGCAUCCCGGGAUGGCUCAUCCCGUAUCCCUGUGGAGCUGGAGCCCUCAGAGGCUGCUCAUCCUCCUGCCUUAACGCACCACCUCUAUUUAUUCUGCUCCUGUAACUGUAAAAUUGAUUUUCUUGCAACAAGCCGCUCGUCUUUCACCACCCUACGCACCCAAACGCUCCGACAUAAGACACUGGCAAUUUUUAAUUAGUUUCCUUUCUCCCUCCUGCCUCCCCGAGCAGGCAUGUGGAACCGGAACAGGGCAGCCCGGAAAGGAGCAGGAUCCAGAGACAAAAGGCCGGAGGCUCCGAUCCAGCCCCACCGUCCCACCAAACCGGCGGAGGAUGGGACAAUUCCUGCUGCCAGCGGCUGGAUCUGCACCUUGGGAAUAUGUCCCGGUGCUGCAAAGGGGACCCCGCGCCUCUUGGGGAAUUUGGGGUGCUGCAGCGUGCAGGGGACCGGAGCUGCCCCAUCCCAAAAUCCCCAUUUCCCGCUGCCCAGUGCCGUGCCCCAUCCCGUGCCCACCCGCGGGUGUCUGUGGGUGCCGUGGGGGGGUUGCAGCCCUCGCCAGGAGCCCAAUUAUGGGAUUUCCAAAGGGAAGGAGCUGCCUCCCCGCUGCCAACACAGCCCUCCACUCUUUGGGGAUGAACGGGGGGAUUGUGCUUGUUCGGGAUCGAGUGAUCAAUAUUAAUUAUGCAAAGCAGCCUCUCCAGCCCACCCUUGUCUCCACAACAUUCCAGGACGGGGGAGCAAUUUAUUCAUGGAGCAGGUCACUCCCUGUACGAACAUCCCUUUCAAAAGGGAGUUGCAACUGGAGGAGAUCAAGCAGGGCUGAGUUUGCCUCCCUCAGAUAUGAUAAAAUAUUCUAAUAAAUACUCGGGAAGCCCGUGACAAGGAGAACGUUUCAGGCUGGCGAGAUCCUCGUGGUGGGGCCUUUUGUGGGGGUCUUCUGUUUGUGUUGAGGGAUUUGGGGGGUUCUGCAGCAUCCUCAGGGCCCGUCUACCCUUCGGUCCUGCUGGAUGCCCUCAGGAUUUCGAAUUUUUAAUAGAAAAACAUAAAAAUCUGCUGUUUCCUCCCCUUGGAUGUUCAGGAGGGAUUUUCUCCUCCCUUUGCUGUGGGGAACACCACACCCCGUGGGGCUCCCCGACAGCGUGGGUGGCCCCAGACACGGGGACAACGGCACCCCAGCCCUAUCCCCACUCCCACCCUGUUCCUGGCCCCAUUCCAGCCUCAUUCCUAUCCUUUUCCCAGACAAAUCACAGCCCUAUCUUCACUCCCACCCCAUUCCUGGACCUAUUCCAUCCUCAUUCCCAUCUCAUCCCCACUCCCAUCCCAUCCCUGGCCCCAUCCAAACACCAUCCACAGUCCCAGCCCAAUCCUAUCCCUGGCCCCGUCCCAUCUCCUUCUCUAAUUCCAUGUCCACUCUGAUUCUCUUCCUGCCAGGCCCAGAUCACCCCAUUCCCAAUCCAAGUCUCACCCC